UCUCAGUGUGAGUGUCACAGAAACAUAUGUGGCCUUUCCUCUGGAAAGGUGAGACGGUGCUCAUGAAAAUGACUUGGCUAUCACCAACAAGGGAGGUGAUUUGUUCCACAGCCAGCUCUCCCCUCUACCGGUCCUCAGCCAGUGAAAGAAGAAUGACUUGGAAGAUGACAUCAAAUCAGGUUCCACAACCAUAUUUAUGGUAAUAGCAGCCCACGUAUGCCGAAUACAUACUUUGUGCUGAGCAUGAUCCAGGAGUUUGCCAUGCACUUGCUCA
rnacentral:lncRNA from 10 species